rnacentral:lncRNA from 1 species
AUGUUUUUUUUUUUUUUUCACCCCCACCAGGGAAAUCAUCUUUUGGGAACUUAUCUAAGAAGAACUUCUUAUGAUGGAGUUUCGCUCUUGUUGCCCAGGCUGGAGUGCAGUGGCAUGAUUUCAGCUCACCGCGACCUCUGCUGCUCGGGUUCAAGCGAUUCUCCUGCCGCAGGCUCCCAAGUAGCUGGGAUUACAGGCAUGUGACAACAAGCCUGGCUAAUUUUUGUAUUUUUAUUAGAGACGGGUUUCCUCCAUGUUGGUCAAGCUGGUCUGGAAGUCCUGACCUCAGGUGAUCCACCCGCGUUGGCCUCCCAAAGUGCUAGGAUUACAAGUGUGAGUCACAGUGCCUGGCCUAUUAAUAUUUAAUUUUAAAUGACAUUAUCUAUUUACAAUUAGCAAGACAAGCCAAUCAGCAAACUUAUUUUGAAUUAGACAUUCUCUUUGCAUUCUUUCCUUGUAUUGCAGUGUUUUUUUCUUAAAUACCUAUUUUGUCAAGACAUAUAUAAUUUCCCUAAGAUUCUGUGACCUUUAUCCGUUUAUGUAGUUUUGGUUGUAGAGUUGAGUAGAAAAAUGUUCAACAAUAGACCUUAGUGUGAAGUUUUCCUCAAAAAUUCUUGAUUGUAUGAAACUUUCUCUUGAAUGAUUUCUUCAGGAAACCUUUAUGAGUACAAAAUUUCCUGGUACUUUGAAGGCCUAUAUUUUUCUAUAACUAUUAUAGAAGAAAAGUAAUUCUGCUGGAUAUGGAAUCCUAUUAUUAUUAUUUUUUUCAUUAAGAAACUUAAAUAUGGCUGGGCACAGUGGCUCACACCUGUAAUCCCAGCACUUUGGGAGGCCAAGGCAGGCAGAUCACGAGGUCAGGAGAUCGAGACCAUCCUGGCUAACAUGGUGAAACCCCAUCUCUACUAAAAAUACAAACAUUAGCCGGGCAUGGUGGUGCGUGCCUGUAACCCUAGCUACCCAGGCGGCUGGGACAGGAGAAUCACUUGACCCAGGGAGUCAGAAGUUGCAGUGAACCUUGCCAGCCUGUUGACAGAGGGACACUCCCUUUCAAAAAAAAAAAAAAGGAACUUUAAUAUAUGGUUCAAUUGUGUUUUGUUAAGAGGUGCUGUGGAUAGAUGAUUUUCUUUACCUUUCUUGGAACUAUAUGAUUUUUGUAUAAUGUCCACAGAUUUUAAUUUUUUUAUAUUUACGGUGCAGUUAUUUUCCCCAGAAUAUGUUUUGGUUUUGACAAUCCUAGACUGAUUUUUCCAGGUAUACAAUGUUCAUAUUCUACACAUAUAUUCAAAUGCUUCUUAAUUUGGGGAAUAUUUUAUGUGAUUGUAUAUUUUACUAUUUGUUCUAUUCCAUUAUUUUGGGUUUCUUGACGAUGACCUCCAAUCAUGUAUUCAUUGGACCUUCUUUGUUUUCUUAAUUGAUUAUAUCUUUUUUUAAAAUUUUACUCUCCAUUUCUAUUUGAUUGUUUUCAUAUUUCUCCCUUUCCUUUCAUUAUUGUUACUUAAAAUAUUUCUAUUCUUAUUUAUGUUGUUUCUUAAUGAUGUGUAUUUUUUUUUCCCCCCCAUGAACUCCUGUGCUUAAGCAAUCUUCCUGCCUUGGUGUCCCAAAGUUCUGAGAUUAUAUGGGUGAGCCACCAUACUCAGCCAUGUCUUCUUUUCAUUUCUAAAAUUAUCUAUCAAUCUAUCUAUAUUUAUGUUUUUUUGAGCUUCAUCAUCUCUUACUAUUAUUUACCCACUAUUAUUCAAAAAUAUUAUUAUUUUCACAUUUUUAAUUUC